rnacentral:rRNA from 1 species
UACGUAGGGAGCAAGCGUUGUCCGGAAUCAUUGGGCGUAAAGCGCGCGUAGGCGGCCUCAUAAGUCCGUUGUGAAAGUCAAAGGCUCAACCUUUGAAAGCCGAUGGAUACUGUGAGGCUAGAGUCCGGAAGAGGAGAGUGGAAUUCCUGGUGUAGCGGUGAAAUGCGCAGAUAUCAGGAAGAACACCCGUGGCUAAGGCGGCUCUCUAGUACGGUACUGACGCUGAGACGCGAAAGCGUGGGGAGCGAACAGG